rnacentral:rRNA from 1 species
CAAAGGUGACCUCGGAUCAGGUAGGAAUACCCGCUGAACUUAAGCAUAUCAAUAAGCGGAGGA